GCGGGUGGCGGCGAGCGCGGAGAGGACGCCAUGAAGGCUUCGGGCACCCUACGAGAGUACAAGGUGGUGGUCGCUGCCUGCGCACCCCAAAUGCCACACACCACCCCUCUACCGCAUGCAAAUCUUGGGGCCUAAUCAUGUCGUCGCCAAGUCCCGCUUCUGGUACUUCGUAUCUCAGUUAAAGAAGAUGAAGAAGUCUUCAGGGGAGACUGUCUACUGUGGGCAGGUGUUUGAGACGCGCCCCCUGCCGGUGAAGAACUUCGGCAUCUGGCUGCGCUGUGACUCCCGGAGCGGCACCCACAACACGUACCGGGAGUACCGGAAGCUGACCACUGCGGGUGCUGUCACCCAGUGCUACCGAGAUACGGGCGCCCGGCACCGCGCCCGGGCCCACUCCAUUCAGAUCAUGAAGGUGGAGGAGAUUGCAGCCAGCAAGUGCCGUCGGCCAGCUGUCAAGCAUUUCCACGACUCCAAGAUCAAGUUCCCGCUGCCCUACCGGGUCCUGCGCCGUCAGCACAAGCCACGCUUCACCACCAAGAGGCCCAACACCUUCUUCUAGGUUAUUCUGAGCCCCAAAUAAACUCAGAAACGUCCCGGUGGGAAAAAAAAAUUCUCUUGGAACUGUUCCGUGCCUGUGAACUGCAUGGCGCUAGGGGGCGCUGCAGCACCACGGUGUUUUAUAGUCAUUACAACACUCGUCCAGCAGAUGGCGGCAAAGUGUUGGGGAAAGAGGAUGCCCUUUUGCCAAUCCCCAUAUAUUUUUCUGAUUUUCAUUUGUAUGGUAUGCAAACAUUUUCAAUUCUCAAAAUUUGGUCUCAGCUACCAUUCUAACCAUUUGAGGCUUACGCUUCUCUGUUUCCCGUCCACUCUGGGCCGAAGUCUUCCUGUCAGUGAAACAGGGAUGUUUAAAGGAGUUUUCUUGGGCCCGUUUCCCAGAGCUGUCCUGACGACCCAUUUGGGGCAGUUUCUCUCUUGUUGGGGCGUGGAGCUGCUCUUAAGGCCCUGCCUGCUGAAUCCUCAAAUAACGUGGUGGACGCUCCCCUCCAGACCUCCUCUGUGGACCCAGGCUCUCCUCUCUCAACCCCUUGGAGUUCCCACCUCUUCUGGGCCCCAAAGUCCUGUCUCUAACUCAAAGACAGUUAGUUAUCUGUGUUAAAAUAAAAUCAC